GUUUUUUUAAAAUGAAUAUUAUCACGUGACCGUUCAUUUUGGUGAAUAAGGUCCCUUAAUAUAGGUGUUAUCAAUUGCAAGAAAAAAGGGAGAUAAUACACCAAAGAAAAACGAAACAUAUAUGAAAAAAAAAAGAUUUUACAAAUGAUAUAGCAAAUGAUAUAAAAAUGAUAUAACAAAUGAUGCUUAUUUGAGAUUUUUUGGCUAUACAUGGAGGCUAAUCCGUAAAUAAAAAGCUUUUUCGGUGUAUCCGGUGUACAAAAUUAAAAACCGUCAAUUAAUUGCAGUGUUUCUGAUAUAAAAAACAUUAAAAUAAAAUCUCUCUCUCACUC